rnacentral:misc_RNA from 1 species
GGAAGUAGGACCUUUGCUGACGGUACCAUGCCUACCCUUUCUUCAACUACCCCUAGCAAUACAACAACAAUCAAUUCAAGUUCUACCCAAACUGGCACAGGGCCAACAAACUCUACAGAGACACAGACUGCAGCCACUGUUUCAAACACCUCUGGCACCCAGACUCGUCCUCGUGCUGCAGCGUUUAUGAUGCCAGGCUUACCUGGUGGAAUUCCCCCGGGACUCCAUGGUAUGUCUGGUAUGCCUGGGAUGGGAGGAAUGCGGGGUGUAGACCCAUACUUACCUUGUUCAUCAAGACAUUUCCUGAGACAACAAGUGAGAAAUGCUGCCAGCCAAGGAGCGCAAGUAGAGAUAAGCAUGCCAAAUAUGCCAAACUUAAUGGCAAAUGUCAUGGGUCAGUUACACACCCAGCAAAGUGGGCCCAGAGCCACGGGGCCAGCCGGUGCCUCACGAACCACCAAUACAGCAUCUGCCAUGGGGUCAACACCAACAGUCCGCCCUACUGCCUCUACAACAACCAACCCAACAUCCACUUCAAGUUCAACAACAGGCCCAAUUCCAAACUUUCAGUUUGCAUCAUUUCCGGGCGGGCCCGGAAUUCCUGCGGGUGUCUCCAUACAGAUGGGAAGUAUUCCUGGAAUGCCACUUCCAGGAAUGUUUGGUCCAGGACAGAUAGGGAAUUUAAUUGGAAAUUUGAUGGGAGGAGCACAAGGAAGGUUCAGACCCGGUGGCCCUGUCAACCCCCCUACAGCAGGAACCACCCCUCCCCAGGGUAACAGACCCAGACCUGCAUCACAGCCCCCAGGUAACACAGGGACCCCAGCAGGUGGUCAGCCAACCGACGGACAGCAGGGGGAACCCAUGUUUGUACAGAUGCUGAGAACCAUGUUGUCAGGAGCUCAGCAGCAAUCUGGAUCCACAUCCACCCCCAAUACCACAGCAUCCACCCCUGCUGGAUCAUCCACCACCACCACAAGUAGCAGUACUUCCUCCUCCUCCACAUCCUCCAGCACUGAGCCAGUCAUGACUGAUGAUGUGUUCGCAUCUUUGGUUCAGGGAAUUAGUGGAAUCGUGACUAGAACAGCUCUUGGACAGGGUCCUCCGGAGACCAUUGCCAACUUCUUGUCAGGCCUAGGAGAGAGUCAUCAAAUUGUUCCCGGGGAGGGUUUCAUUCAUGAUGUUUUCAAUGUGGCGGCCAACCACUUGACCUUUCCGAACUUGAUCCAAGUGUUUUAUGGGUCAGGACAGCCUCUGGAUCAGCUAAGGAGGCCCUUACAACAGUUCUUGAGGGACGGAAUAUUGAAUGGGCGGGAGGCCAGUGCUGAGAACAUUGUACAGGCUGUCGACACACUGGUUAAUGACAUGCAAGAGGAACUCACAGAAACUGCUAGUGUCUCAGAAGUGAAGCCUCACAUCGAUUUAGUGGAGACCUGGAAUAACUUUUUCCGUGCUCAGUUGAUAAGCAUCAUAACCUUUAUUAUGAGAGCAGAGUCGGAUGGAGGUUUUGGCCAGGAGUUGUACAACAGGAUAAGAGUGGCCCUGUCUCUGCUGAUUGUCCUGACCCGACACUGUCUUGUUGGAGGCAUGUCUGGUCUCCAGUCUCUCAUACAUAAUCGAUUGCAAUACAUCACUCGUGGGGUCAAUCCCAUGAUUCAGCAGUGGAUGAUCAGCGUGACGACACAACAGCUUGAUCAGUUCUUGCCCACCAUCACAGUGACAGAAGCUGAGAUGACUACAUACCUAGUCCUGAAAAAAGACAAGAAAGACAAGAAAAAACCAGAGGUGGCCCCAAAACCAUCUCCCAUGGACACCACUUCUCCAGGUGCCUCACAGCCAGAGGAGAGGGAGAUGAAGGUUUGUUUAUAUACAUGUAUACGAGAGAACAUUGUACAUCUGGAGAGAGAAUAAGAGAGAGAUCAGUGAUUUUCCCUAGCCAGUGGAAAAAGAGAUGGUUUGUUCAAGAUCUACCGGUACAUCUACGUAUCGAGAGAGAGAGAGAGAGGAGAGAGAGUUUGUCUGGCUUCUGUGUCAAAAGAUCAGAAUUUAGCAGCCUAUCAAAAUCAACUCUAAUGUCAAUAUUGUUUGGUAGCAGAUGGAGGUAGAAUCCUCAAAAGCAGCAGAGGCAGCAGCCCAGCCUAGCACUAGCAGAAUGGUAAAUGGAAACAACUCCAAUGGCUUAAAGCCAGAUACUGCUCUCAAACCAGAACCCGCAGGGGCGGCUGUUGGUGCCGAGGGCUGGGAGAAGGAAAUCCCCGAGGAGUGGGUUCCAGUUAUUAAUGGAGAUGUUCAAAAGCAGAAACAACAGCGACACCAGCCUCCCUUCAGUGACGCCUACCUAGAUGGAAUGCCUCCGAAACGAAGACGACUGAUGACACAAGACAGACCUGGAGAUCUUGCCAAUACAUCGCAGUCCCUGACAGAUCAGCUGAGUCGAGCAGUGAGGGCGGCGGGGGUGGAGCCCAUCAGCAGUAUGGAGAACCUGAGGGCAGAAGCCAGCACCAACACCGAGCUCCAGUCAGCUUAUGAACAACAGGUCAACAACACCAUUGCCCACAGAGUGGCUCAUGAUAAAGACUAUAAGAAAGACAGAUUCCCCAAUACACAAGCCUUUGUUGAUGAAGAUGAAAAUCAGUAGUGGCGUUUGUUAUGCAAAAUACCAUUUCAGCAAGACAGAUAAUUUUACUGUAUCAGUUGAGGAGUUUGUGGCAAAAAAUUCUAUUUCGGCUGAACAAUUUUUUUCAAUAUAUGGUGAAAUAUAUCAGUAUUUUAUCUUUAAAUCUGUCUUCAAUGACAAAACACUGUUGGUUAAACAGAUGUACAAAUGUGUUUGUGUGUUGGCAGCUUGAAUAUACCGGUAGACAAUAUUGCUGACCUAAAAUUCUGCGCUUUUUAAUUAAAAUAAUUUUUUGUCAUUCAAAAUGACAACUAUGUUAUUUACUUGAUGUUUUGUAAUGUACAUGUGACAUUUUUAAAUUUUGUAAUGUGUAAGCUUGAAAUGUUUAAAUUCAUGAAAUACACAGACCGAGAAAUGCAUUUUAUUUAUUUUAAGAAACAUUGUAAUUGUAAUACAAUGUAACAUAAAAACUUGAACACAUCAU